AGAGUUUGAUCCUGGCUCAGGAUGAACGCUGACAGAAUGCUUAACACAUGCAAGUCUACUUGAUCCUUCGGGUGAUGGUGGCGGACGGGUGAGUAACGCGUAAAGAACUUGCCCUGCAGUCUGGGACAACAUUUGGAAACGAAUGCUAAUACCGGAUAUUAUGUGAGUUUCGCAUGAAAUUCAUAUGAAAGCUAUAUGCGCUGCAGGAGAGCUUUGCGUCCUAUUAGCUAGUUGGUGAGGUAACGGCUCACCAAGGCGAUGAUAGGUAGCCGGCCUGAGAGGGUGAACGGCCACAAGGGGACUGAGACACGGCCCUUACUCCUACGGGAGGCAGCAGUGGGGAAUAUUGGACAAUGGACCAAAAGUCUGAUCCAGCAAUUCUGUGUGCACGAUGAAGUUUUUCGGAAUGUAAAGUGCUUUCAGUUGGGACGAAGUAAGUGACGGUACCAACAGAAGAAGCGACGGCUAAAUACGUGCCAGCAGCCGCGGUAAUACGUAUGUCGCAAGCGUUAUCCGGAUUUAUUGGGCGUAAAGCGCGUCUAGGCGGUUUGGUAAGUCUGAUGUGAAAAUGCGGGGCUCAACUCCGUAUUGCGUUGGAAACUGCCAAACUAGAGUACUGGAGAGGUGGGCGGAACUACAAGUGUAGAGGUGAAAUUCGUAGAUAUUUGUAGGAAUGCCGAUGGGGAAGCCAGCCCACUGGACAGAUACUGACGCUAAAGCGCGAAAGCGUGGGUAGCAAACAGGAUUAGAUACCCUGGUAGUCCACGCCGUAAACGAUGAUUACUAGGUGUUGGGGGGUAUGACCCAUCGGUGCCGCAGCAAACGCAAUAAGUAAUCCACCUGGGGAGUACGUUCGCAAGAAUGAAACUCAAAGGAAUUGACGGGGACCCGCACAAGCGGUGGAGCAUGUGGUUUAAUUCGA
rnacentral:rRNA from 1 species